rnacentral:RNase_P_RNA from 1 species
GGAGUCGGCCCGAUAAUCGCUGGAAAAUGUUCGCAUUUUCUGGAGGAAAGUCCGGGCUCCAUAGGGCAGGGUGCCAGGUAACGCCUGGGCGGCGCGAGUCGACGGAAAGUGCCACAGAAAAUAUACCGCCAGCUUGCUGGUAAGGGUGAAAUGGUGCGGUAAGAGCGCACCGCGCUGCUGGCAACAGCAGUGGCAGGGUAAACCCCACUCGGAGCAAGACCAAAUAGGGGAACAUUGGUGCGGCCCGCAUUGUUCCCGGGUAGGUCGCUUGAGGUGUGUGGCGACACACAUCCCAGAUGAAUGAUUAUCCACGACAGAACCCGGCUUACAGGCCGACUCCUUCC